UACGUAGGGGACGAGCGUUGUCCGGAAUUACUGGGCGUAAAGGGCGCGCAGGCUGUGCUGCAAGUCAGCUGUGAAAUAUCUGGGCUUAACCUGGAUAUGCGGUUGAGACUGCAGUGCUGGAGUGCUGUAGAGGCAAGUGGAAUUCCCAGUGUAGCGGUGAAAUGCGUAGAUAUUGGGAAGAACACCGGUGGCGAAGGCGACUUGCUGGGCAGCAACUGACGCUGAGGCGCGAAAGCCAGGGGAGC
rnacentral:rRNA from 1 species